AUGUCGUCCUAUCUUUGUCAGCGCUAUCAGCCCUCUGGCGAUGCUUUAUACCUCUAUGUGGUGCGUUAGGAGCAUGCUCUUCAGCAGGGUGACUUGUCUGUUGAUGAGUUCUAUUCACAGUGCUCUGUCAUCUGGCGUCAGCUUGACUCACUGCGGACAGUUGUUUGUGGCACUUGCCGCUGCUGUCAGACUACGCGGUCUGACUUGGAGUUUCAGAGGGUUCAUGAGUUCUUAUCUCGUCUCCGCUCUGAGUUUGAGCCCCGACGUGCUCACUUGCUUGCUCGUGGUCGUGUUCCUAUCUCGGAGGUGCUUGCCGAGCUUCGUGCUGAGGAGACCCGCCUUUGCUCUGCUGAAUUGCUGGUGGUCCCGUCUGUGUUGGCUGCUCGUGCUCCUCUGUCGUCUGCUCGGCUCACUGCUCCAGCUCCUUCCCACACCUUCAGGGGGGUGAGUCAACCUGCUUGCACUGAGAGGGGCCGGUCGCGCCGUGACACCUUCUGUGGCUACUGCUCUCGGCCAGGUCACCCAGAGUCUAAUUGCCGUGAGAAGAAGCGGGACCAGCGGCGCUCCUCUUCCAGUGGGACUCCUGGAUCUUCCUCGACUCCGUCACUCACUGACCAGGAUAUUGUGAGGCUUAAACGUCUCUUGGCCUCCUCAGGCUCUUCGUCAACUGGUUCAGCUGCUUCUGUGACUGCAGACACUUAUCCACCAUCACAGGCAUCUACACAGUCAGGUACAUCUUCGUUGGUCUAG
rnacentral:rRNA from 1 species